UACGUAGGGUGCGAGCGUUGUCCGGAAUUAUUGGGCGUAAAGAGCUCGUAGGCGGUCUGUCGCGUCGGAUGUGAAAACUCGGGGCUCAACCCCGAGCCUGCAUUCGAUACGGGCAGACUAGAGUUCGGUAGGGGAGACUGGAAUUCCUGGUGUAGCGGUGGAAUGCGCAGAUAUCAGGAGGAACACCGGUGGCGAAGGCGGGUCUCUGGGCAGUAACUGACGCUGAGGAGCGAAAGCGUGGGGAGCGAACAGG
rnacentral:rRNA from 1 species